rnacentral:rRNA from 1 species
GCCUACGGGGCGCAGCAGUGGGGAAUAUUGGGCAAUGGGCGCAAGCCUGACCCAGCAACGCCGCGUGAAGGAAGAAGGCUUUCGGGUUGUAAACUUCUUUUCUCAGGGACGAAGCAAGUGACGGUACCUGAAGAAAAAGCAUCGGCUAACUCCGUGCCAGCAGCCGCGGUAAUACGGAGGAUGCGAGCGUUAUCCGGAUUUAUUGGGUUUAAAGGGUGCGCAGGCGGAGGCACAAGUCAGCGGUAAAAUCGCGGGGCUCAACCCCGCUCCGCCGUUGAAACUGUGUCCCUUGAGUGCGCGAAGGG